rnacentral:lncRNA from 1 species
UAACUUUGCCCGUGAAUGUUUGUCUAACUUCUGCCUCAUGAGCACCCAGUUUCAAUUCCCUGACAUAUGUCUAUGCUUUGCAAUUUGUAUCUUGUAGUCCUUGCCGGAGUUCUGCUGCUCCCGAACACAUGCCCUGAGGCAGCGUGCCUGCACAACCAGCUUCUAUCUGAAUGCUUCAGACAUGCGCUGCAUUCAGGGCAGGGACUUUUCUUGGACAGAGAAGCUGAGAAGUAUCAGAUAAAGAUGACCUGCAUGUACUGGAAAAUAAUCUGUGGUUUAUAUGUAGGCGGAUGGAAGCAAAUCAGGGAACAAAAGAAGAAUUUGUAG